CCUACGGGAGGCAGCAGUAGGGAAUAUUGCUCAAUGGGGGAAACCCUGAUCCAGCGACGCCGCGUGAGGGAAGAAGGUUUUCGGAUUGUAAACCUCUGUCAGUGGGGACGAUAAUGACGGUACCCACGGAGGAAGCCACGGCUAACUACGUGCCAGCAGCCGCGGUAAUACGUAGGUGGCAAGCGUUAUCCGGAUUUACUGGGUGUAAAGGGCGUGUAGGCGGGAGAGCAAGUCAGACGUGAAAUUCCAGGGCUCAACCCUGGAACUGCGUUUGAAACUGUGCUUCUUGAGUGAUGGAGAGGCAGGCGGAAUUCCGUGUGUAGCGGUGAAAUGCGUAGAUAUACGGAGGAACACCAGUGGCGAAGGCGGCCUGCUGGACAUUAACUGACGCUGAGGCGCGAAAGCGUGGGGAGCAAACAGGAUUAGAUACCCCGGUAGUC
rnacentral:rRNA from 1 species